UGGAUGACUUCCUGCAGCAGACUAACAAGUGGUGCUCUCAAGGAUUACGGAAAUUGUGGAGAGAUGGCAAGAUAGAUGGGUGGAUAUAUGAUCGAUAUGGAUGCUGGCCCAUUAUCAUUUUUGUUGGUGGAACUGAUUUUAGCUGCAUGAAACAAUGCCUUUCUUCUGAACUGAAAGCUCCUGCGCAGCCCAGCCCACCCAGACACGAAGGGACAGGGACAAACCAGGGCGCUACAGAAAACGGGGUGCCUGCUUUUCUGUCGGCCUCAUUUUACAAAGGAGUCUUUGAAUCAUGGAGAAAUAAGAUGGCUUGCUCCGUGUCCCUUGGUGGAGUCCAGCUCUGCACACCCAUCCAAUCUGAUGCACGCAGAACCAGCACAAGACAAGGAGGACCAUAGCAGAUAGCCCCAGUUUCCUGAAAUGCUAUUAACAACAACGUGACUAAUUCACACAUCCCUCCUGAAGACCCGCCUGAUGAUAGGAAGUCCUGUGGCUGGGAGGGUUUGAACUAGGGUUGUCAAAAGUUUUGGUUAAGGGAAGGUUGGUCCACAUGGCUUGGCUGAGUGAUGCUUCGCUUCUGAACAGCUCCAGACUCCAGAGAGUGGGUUUCUCAUUUUGCAAAGUAAUUAUCUCCUGCUGGCUUAUAGGAAGUUUCUGUAGGAUCUCUCUCCAUUGAAGGUCAGAUUUCAUGUACCUUUUGAGAUCCUAGAACCAGGGUUCUGCUGUGCUAGAAAAGCAGAAUGGAGAAGACUAUAUGAGGUUAGCAACAUCUGAGCAAAACAACGUUUAUGGCUCAGACAGCAAUUCCAAUUAUCCAGCACUUAGGCAUCGAGAAGAUUCAGAUAAGAGGUCUCAGAUUUAGCUCCUCUCUUCUCUCUGCAAGUUAAUGUGCCACUUUUCUUCUUCUUUUUUUUUUAAGCAGACAAUCAAAUCUGUGAUAGCAAAUUUCAAGUUAAAAGGAAAAGAUUCUCUCUGCAGAGAAUGGAAAGAACCAUUUUGGAUCUAGGGUGAGUUUUGUGAUCCACCUGAAGCAUGGGUAGCUGUCAUUAUACACAUAUUAAACAGAAGCUAGUGAGCUUGUUGCAAGAGUAGCUGGAUAAAAUCCUAUGUUUUUUUAAUAAAAAUA